UACGGAGGGUGCGAGCGUUAAUCGGAAUAACUGGGCGUAAAGGGCACGCAGGCGGGCUUUUAAGUGAGAUGUGAAAUCCCCGGACUUAACCCGGGAACUGCAUUCGAAACUGGCAGGCUGGAGUGUUGUAGAGGGGGGUAGAAUUCCAGGUGUAGCGGUGAAAUGCGUAGAGAUCUGGAGGAAUACCGGUGGCGAAGGCGGCCCCCUGGACAAAGACUGACGCUCAGGUGCGAAAGCGUGGGGAGCAAACAGG
rnacentral:rRNA from 1 species